rnacentral:rRNA from 1 species
UCGGGAAUUUUGGGCAAUGGGGGAAACCCUGACCCAGCAACGCCGCGUGAAGGAUGAAGUAUUUCGGUAUGUAAACUUCGAAAGAAUAGGAAGAAUAAAUGACGGUACUAUUUAUAAGGUCCGGCUAACUACGUGCCAGCAGCCGCGGUAAUACGUAGGGACCAAGCGUUGUUCGGAUUUACUGGGCGUAAAGGGCGCGUAGGCGGCAUGACAAGUCACUUGUGAAAUCUCUGGGCUUAACCCAGAACGGCCAAGUGAUACUGUCGCGCUAGAGUGCAGAAGGGGCAAUCGGAAUUCUUGGUGUAGCGGUGAAAUGCGUAGAUAUCAAGAGGAACACCUGAGGUGAAGACGGGUUGCUGGGCUGACACUGACGCUGAGGCGCGAAAGCCAGGGGAGCAAACGGGAUUAGAUACCCCCGUAGUCCCUGAGCGGGCUGGCAAG